rnacentral:misc_RNA from 1 species
UGGCUUCUUAUUGAUUAAGUGGUUGUAUAAGGUAAACAAUUUCUUAAAGGCUCGUCAGUCGUACAGAAUCUACAAGACUGUCCAGUUGAAUCCUCACCGUCCCCGUCAUCCACAGUUAAAUCGUACCGGCGAAAUCAGAGUCCUCGCUGACUUCUCGCAAAGAGAAAUUAUUCUAAUCUCCUUGAUGCAUUAUUGGAGUUGAUUAUUGGAUGAAAUUUUCGCCGGCGAGAUAGGCGCGAGAAGAGAUGAAAGUGGACUGGACUCAGCUCCCUCCUGAACUCAUAGAGACAAUCUCCAAAAGCAUCACCGUUUAUGCCGAUUACCUCCACUCUCGAGCUGUAUGUCGCACUUGGCGAUCCUCCAUUCCCAAAACCCCCUACCACCUCCCUCCUCAGCUCCCAUGGCUCAUGCUCCCUCAAUCCCAAUACAACCAAUCUCACCGCGCCUUCUUCAACCUCUCCACCAACAAAUUUCACUUCCUCAAUCUCCCUGAGGCCUCCCAUCGCAAUCGCCACUGCGGCUCCUCUCACGGCUGGCUCAUAAUCCUCGAUGACAGCCCAUUAGUUCUUCUCAUAAACCCCCUCACGAGGGCCAAGUUCUCUUUGCCUCCACUCACGAGUUUCCCUAAUGUUGUUAGCUUCAAUUACUCCGAUAUCGGUCGAGAAUACGCGCUUCAAAACUCGUCGGGCGAUCGUUAUACGCGUAGCUUGAGGCAAAUGCGAGAUUGGUUCAUCAAGAAAGUCGUUUUAUCAUCCAGUCCAUUGAAGGCGAGCAAUUUCGUAGCCAUGACGAUUCUUAAUCAAACAGGUGAUUUGGCUUAUUGUAGAAAUGGAAACCAAUCCUGGACCAUCAUAGAAAAUGCACGCUCUUUUUGCGAAGAUGUUGUAUGCUUUAAUGGAUUCUUUUACGCGGUCAAUAAGUCUGGUCAAAUUGCUAUUUGCGAUGUCACCAGCGAUUCACCUGAGGUUUCGUUUAUCGAAACGCCAAGGCAAGCUGGUGGUGAUAUGCAGUAUUUGGUUAGUUCAGCAGAUGAAUUGUUAUUGGUCACCAGGUAUUUGGAUCUUGAAUUCGAAGUUGAUCAUCCUGAUAGGCAACAAUAUAUAAUGUAUAGAACGAUUCGAUUUGAAGUUUUUAGGCUUGACUGGAGUGGACCUCGGUGGGUGAGGGUUAGAAGCUUGGGUGAUAAGGUGUUGUUCAUUGGUGAAAAUACCUCAUUAUCGUUGUCAGCUACAGAUUUCUCUGGUU